GCAUCCCACAAAUGUGUAAAUAUUGAUUUAUUUUGUCAGUUUACAAUUUUUCAACAGCUAGCCUCACCAUCUUCUGGCUUUACCAAUGUAAUUCCACCACAUAAUUUUUCCAGUUUGUCCUCCAUUUCUUUGACCUCACAUAUUGUUACAAAAGCUCCCCAAGUUAAAAUAAAAGAAAUUUUCUAACUUCUUCAAGUGGAUAAAGUGUGUGCCCCUCUCUCUCUCUCUCUCUCUCUCUCUCUCUCUCUCUCUCUCUCUCUCUCGUGGGAGAGGGUUUAAUGUGGCUUUGCUCAUUAACUAUUUCAAGUUUCAUCAUUUGCAAGAGACUUGCAGGAGAUUCAACAACUAAUCCUUUGCUUUAGGUUACAAUUAAAAGAAAUGGAGAAUCGACUGAGGAGCUGGCGAAUCUUGAAUACAAUUGUUGUACAAUUAAGUGGAGCACAGCGGAGGUUCUCAGAUUUUGUGGACACAUUGCGACGGAGGAACUUCAGUUUCACAUUGUCAGCCUACUUAGCGAGGUAAGAUUUACACUUGCCUUUCCUUGGAGAUUUCAUUUUUCCAUAUUUCCUAACUCACGGUAAGGUUGGAGAACUCGAUUCCUUUUCCACAAAGGAGUCAGAUGUGGAUGAUUCUGGUUCAUUCUUGUAUAUGGUUGAAGUUGGUGUUAUUUGUGGGGGUGAGGUGAAUCUGGUUCUUUCUUGCAAAUGUUUGAAGUUGGUGUUAUUGGGGAGGGAGAUUUAGAACUCGGCAAAAUUCUAUAUUGGGGGUACAGAGUUGGAUACUCAUUAGGCAGAACAUCCUCUAAAUUAGAGGGCUCUUGCUUAACAAUUGAUGGUGGAAAUAGGUUUCGCAACAAGUUAGAUAUUUUUGCAUGAAAAUUAAUGGUUAUUCUAUUUAGGAAUGCAAAUUGGUUUUUUAGAGGUGGUAGUAGAGUGAGGCACCAACACCUAUUUAUAUUUGUUUUCAGGCCAUAAAUUCCAUCUCCUACCAAUUUUUUUACUUUAUUUUUAUGCCAAUGACAAAUAGCAUAAUGCCACGUGUUAUCCACUUACACAUGUUGAAAGAGUUCUCCAUUAUAAUUAUCAGUUAUUGCACAUAAUUUCUUGUAUUUAGUUGAUAUUAUGUCAGUUUAGUAAUUAGUUCAUGGCUGACUCCGGUUGUGAAAUGAUUGUUACCUUUUCAUGUUAGUCACCACUAUUCUAAUUUUAUUUGACUAAUUAAAUUCUUCAACUGUUCAACCAAAAUGGUUUCGUUUGGGUCUAGUUAAUGUUGCAUUUAUUGUUUCCUUAAAUUCAGGAGUGGAUAACCUCAUUCAACAAGAAAAAUAUAUCCUGUCAAUUGAAUAUGAAUAUCUGUGAUUGGUAGACCCUUGCAGUCCUUUAUAGAUCUUAUUUUUGACAAAGGAGCCACAAGGUUCUAACUGCCUCUCAACCUCAUUCUUAUUUUUCUUGCCAAAAAAAUAAAAAUAAAAACUACAUUCUCAUUUAAAUACUUCUCAUAGUGAAAGUAUUGAAUGGAAAUUAAGGUUCUUAAUUUCAACACAUACAUAAACAUUUUGUUUAAAAUUGAGAGAAUUUAUUCAGUAUAAAAUUUUCACUAAAUUGCUUAAUAACUUCCUUCAAUUAUAUGCGAUGCAUUUUUUUUUUAAUUUUAUGUGUGUAUAUUCUUAUUUUAAUUUUUUUUCUCACCUGUUCAUCCAAGUUUAGUACCCAUUGGUAAGUACAUAAUAUUAUCGAUUGACAGUAUAUAAAUAUGUAUCAAAUUUAAAAUUAAACCACCAUAUUAUUCUUGAAAUCAAUUAAAGACUCAAAAUAAUAUAACUCAUUUAAUAGGAUUGUCCAAUAUAACUACAUUAGUCAAUGCAGGUUCACUAAUCAACCUAUAAAAAUUAAAUGCUAAUUAGUGAAGGUUGUAAUGAUGGCAAUACAUUUUGAUGUGUUUAUAUAACCGAAUGAAAGAGUUUGUUCCUCAAACAUAAGCAAGUUAAAAAAUAUAUUCUACUCAAACCAAAAUAUUUGUCAAAGAGUAAAGAAGUGAUUCGUAGUUUCAUUUAGUUGCAGGUUUUAUAUGUGACAGUUAUUACUUUCAUUAAUAGUAUGCAUUGUGAUGUUCCAGAUGCUGCUAAUGAAGAGAUUAUGGGAAAUAGUUCAGACCAAGAUUGAUAGAAAAUGUGCAUUACGCAAUAUUAAUUUCCCAUCCUGCCUAUCAAAGACAUUGAGGUAAUAAUAAAUCAACUUCUUAAUUGCUUUAAAAGUUAUUCAUAGUUAAUUUAAUAAAGUAGAUUUUUUUAUGAUAAGUAAGUUUGAUAGUAGAUUAAAUCAAAUAUAAAUCUAUGAUUGUUUAUAUCAAUAGAAUUAAAAACUAAUAAUAUUGUUGUC